AACGUGUUUGCUUUGUUUCUAUGUAUAUCUUCUUGCAUUUAGCCCAUCAAAUGUUACUUAAUUAACAGAGAGGUGGAAAAAUAGAUUUAGAUGGUAUUAGGGUUACGUGUAGACGUGGUGAAGCCUGGCUGUUCGGAGCCAGAAUGACACUGACAUUUGACAGUCCAUUUAAUUUCUUUGUUGUGUCUGCAUUUUAAGAAACAUCCAAAGGAAAUUCGAAAUUGCACUUACCUGCCACUUUCUGCACCAUCUGUUCCAGGUGAUUAAAACCAAUCUGCAUAUAGUGUGUUUCAUUUUCAAUUUCUCGCUCCCUGGGAAGGCAUGGGGCAGUGCAUGAAGUGGAUAAUAUCUGCUUGGGUCCCUCUGACUGUGCCGGGGCUGCAGCAGGAACGUGCCAGCUAACAAAGAACGAAGGGAUCCUAGAAGUAAACUGUGCAGAGAGUCUUUCUGAACCAAGAGGUCAACAUUCCCAGUAUAUGAAAAGUUGCUGCCAAAUCAGAAGAUUUAGAUCACACGUGGGGCCUGCCAACCAGAGGCAUACAGGUAUUACUUGGUCGUAUUUGUUUGGCCUACAGAUAGUUUUAAAAAUAAUUUGGUGGCUCAGCCAGCAAAGCAUCUGACUUUGGGUUUCCCCUCAGAUCUUGAUGUCAGGGUCUUGAGACGGGGCCUGAGUUGGGCUCCGGCUUGAAGAUUUUCUCCCUCUGCCUCUCCCCACAAUUGCAUGCACUUGCACUCUCUCUGUCUCUGUCUCUCUCACACACACAAAUAAGUAAAUAAAUAAAUAAGGAAAUAAAUCUUUUAAAUAUUU
rnacentral:lncRNA from 12 species